AUCUAUAUUCUUCGAAUUAAGCAGAUCUUAUUGGUGGGUCUUGAGACUCAAAAUGCGAUACUCCUGACAUUUAACGAACGAAUGUAAUCACUGCAGAUAUUUCCAACUGCAGAGAAACUUUCUCCCCCCUCCCUUCUCCCCUUCCCUUCCCUUCUCCCUCUCUCUCUCUCUCUCUCUGAAACUUUUAUUCUGGAACUCAAUUCUCCCAACGGCGACCCACCAAUUGAAUUCUUUUUGGAAGCCAUAGCAAUGGCUUAGCAAGGAACAGCAGAAACCCGUCGCAAUCUUCUCGAAUCGCAAAGCUAAGACAAUGGCCGAGACCUCCGUUUCUUCCCCAAAACCUCUCCAAUCGCCGAACGCAAUUGAACCCAUAUCCCAAAACCCAUCAACAAACCCGGCCAUGCCCUCCCCUUCCAACAUUUCGAACUCUCCGUCCAUUGAUAUUCCGCAGAUGUCGUCUCCCCCUCUUCAUCCCCUUCCCCAGGUUAACGCUCUAACCCCAUCGCAGUCGCAGCAGAUCGCCCCCACGGUUGGAUUGGAUUACCCACAAAAGCAGCAACAACCGCAGCAGCAGCAGCAGAAUUUGAUGGGUACGGCGUCGAGUUACCAAUUACAGCAGAGCUUGCAGAGGUCGCCGUCAAUGUCGCGAUUGCAUCAAAUUCAACAGCAGCAGCAGCAGCAGUUUGGUGUUGGGGCUGCCGGUGCAAUGCGGCAGCAAGCGGGGGUCUACGGGCAGAUGAAUUUUGGCGGUUCUACGGUUCAGCAGCAGCAGAAUCAGCAACAGCAGCAGCAGUUGGCUACGGGCAAUUUGUCACGUUCGGCAUUGAUGCCCCAGAGCGGUCACCUGCCUAUGUUGUCCGGCCAAGCCGCCGCUGCUGCGGCUGCUGCGCAGUUUAAUUUGCAGCCGCAGUUGCUUGCAUCGCCGAGGCAGAAAACGGGGUUAGCCCAAGGGACCCAGUUACAUGCGGGCAAUUCUCAUGGGCAAGCUUUGCCUGGAAUGCAAGCAAUGGGAGUGAUUGGUUCACUUGGUUUGAAUUCACAACUCAGAGUAAAUGCCCCCCUUGCGUUUGCCCAGCAGCGGAUGAACCAGGGGCAAAUGAGGCAGCAAUUGUCACAACAAUCUUCACUCACCUCUCAGAAAUUACAGGCUCAAAGCUUACCAAGGACAUCUUCACUAGCAUUUAUGAACUCUCAGUUAUCUGGGUUGUCUCAGAAUGGUCAACCAGCUAUGAUGCAGAAUUCUUUGUCACAACAACAGUGGUUGAAGCAAAUUCCAGCAAUGUCUGCUCCUGGUUCUCCUUCAUACCGUCUACAUCAAAGGCAACAGCAGAUCCUCUUGCAGCAGCAACUGGCUUCAACUACUCAGUUGCAGCAGAAUUCAGUGGCCUUAAACCCGCAAUUGGCCCAGCUGGUACAGCAGCAGUCAUCAAUGGGGCAUCCGCAUCUGCUUCAGCAGCAGCAGCAGCAGCAGCAGCAGCAGCAGCAACAGCAACAGCAGCAACAGCAACAGCAGCAGCAGCAGCAGCAGCAGCAGCAACAACAGCAGCAGCAGCAGCAGCAACUCCCGCAACAGCAACAGCAACAGCAACUUCCGCAACAGCAACUUCCUUUGCACCAACAGCAGCAGCAGUCUCCCAGGUUGCCAGGACCUGCUGGCCAGAAAUCUUUAAGUUUGACGGGAUCACAGCCAGAUGCUGCUGCAUCUGGCACAACUACGCCAGGGGGCAGUUCCAGCCAAGGAACGGAAGCAAGCAAUCAACUUCUUGGAAAGAGAAAGAUUCAGGAUUUGGUUUCACAGGUGGAUUCGCGAGGAAAGCUCGAUCCUGAAGUGGAAGAUCUUCUUUUGGAGAUUGCUGAUGAUUUCAUUGAUUCAGUGACUACAUUUGCAUGCAGUUUGGCAAAGCAUCGGAAAUCUUCUACAGUAGAGUCCAAGGAUUUGUUGCUACACCUAGAGAAAAAUUGGCAUUUAACUGUUCCUGGAUUUUCAAGUGAAGAGCAGAAACCCCAACCAAAAUUUUCAUCAAAUGAUCUCCACAAGAAGCGUCUUGAUAUGAUACGGGCAUUAAUGGAAUCAUCGCACACUGAAACAACUAUGAAUAAUGCUAAAGAUAUUAUCAGACAGGGACUUAGCAACUCAGUAGGUGCAAACCACCUUAUGAGGCCUUCACCUAGUUCAGAUCAGUUAAUUUCACCACCAACCAGUUCGCAAAUGCUGCAGCAAAUUACACGGUUCUAAUGGAAUAGUUCUUUCUUUUUUAUCAGCUCUCCAUGGUGAUUGGGUCUAACUCAUUUGACCUUAUUGGUUGAAUUGACAAGAGCUUGUGCGUAAUUACUUUCAACGAGUCAGAAAUCUGAAGAUGGUUGCGAAAAUCACUGCUGCUGCCAUCUUCCUAUAACUGUGUUUUGUUUGUGAUUAUUUGAUUUUGUUGAUAGUGCCAUAAAAGGUACUCCUAGUGAAUUGACGGCCUUACCUGGUGGCUGUGUAUCUUAGGUUUUCUAUUUCUAUUUCAAUUUUGAAUUUUUUUUCCCCCUUGUUUUUGGGGGAGGCUUGUGUAUUCUUAGUUUCAGCUGAGAUAUACUUGGCCAUAAUCCAAGUAUUCUUAGCUUUCCGGCACAUGGGAGAGCUUGGGACGCUUGGGCAGGCAUUGUAUUCUUAUGCAUUACCAUACAGAGUAUCUUUUAUGGAGUUCUUUAGACUUUUCAGUUUUCUUGUGUCAUAACAAACGUAUGAAUUGAGCUGUAAGUUCCCCAGUGGAGUUCAAAUGUAUUUUUCAAACUCUUUUAUAGUUUUUUCUGGCGGGUUAUGCCUCUUCCAUACCAAAUAUGAUUCUGGAAAAUUGCUCUAUUGAUGUAA